rnacentral:rRNA from 1 species
AUUGAACGCUGGCGGCGUGCCUAACACAUGCAAGUCGAGCGGUAACGCGGGAGCAAUCCUGGCGACGAGCGGCGAACGGGUGAGUAACGCUUCGGAAUCUACCCAGUAGUGGGGAAUAACCAACCGAAAGGUUGGCUAAUGCCGCAUACGACCUGAGGGUGAAAGGGGGGGAUCGCAAGACCUCUCGCUAUUGGAUGAGCCGAAGUCGGAUUAGCUAGUUGGUAGGGUAACGGCCUACCAAGGCGACAAUCCGUAGCUGGUCUGAGAGGACGACCAGCCACACUGGGACUGAGACACGGCCCAGACUCCUACGGGAGGCAGCAGUGGGGAAUAUUGGACAAUGGGGGCAACCCUGAUCCAGCGACGCCGCGUGUGUGAAGAAGGCCUGCGGGUUGUAAAGCACUUUUAGUGGGGAUGAAAAGCUCAGGGCUAAUACCCUUGAGUCUUGACCUAACCCAAAGAAAAAGCACCGGCUAACUCUGUGCCAGCCGCCGCGGUAAAAC